GGGAGAAAUGGCCUUUUCAAAAGAUGUUGGGUGAAAUUCAGCAUUGCACAAGGUGGCAUAAUCUUAGUCUCCAUCCACCUACACCUCCAAAAAAAUCUGUUCUGGAGAAUCUGUGGAGAUGGUGCUGUAGGAGAUAAGAAUCCAGUUGCAGAAGUCCUUUACACUCAUGCAUGAGCGGUGCUGGACUGCUUUCCCCCACAGAAAUGAAAACAAUAAUCCAGAUCAACUGCGUGUACUUGAAAAGUUUUAACACAGUUCAAAAGAGCUUCAUCUUGGUAUUAAGUCUCCUACCAUAAUAACAAAUAGCAGAUAAGCUCUGGACGUUAUAGUGGAGAACAGAGGAGGAGUCGACACAAGACACACUGAAAGAAAGUGGGAGGCUAGAAUACCAAAGUAUAUCAUCAGACGGUAAGUGGGAAUUAAGUCUUUUAAGUGUAUAUUUACAUUCAGAGUGUGUUUAUACAAGUUACUCUGUGAACGAUUUUGCUUUAAAGCAGAGCAAGAUAGUAUGAAAACAAUUAGGACAAAGCGCAAAGGGAGUUCUGCUAGCACUUCUCAUUUAGAUUCCUUCUGUCAAAAGCCGUCCCAGGAAGACUUGAUGUCCGUAAAUGCCUGGCUAAGGGGGAGGUGGGAGUUAAAUUCGGCACAAGUUGUUUUCCUAAGCACACAUAUGGACUAGUUGGAAGAAAGAUGUGAGCGCGUUGCAGUAAAACCAAUAUGCAAACAAACAUGAAAUAAGGCAUUUUAUAAAUACCAGGUGUGGGGAGCCUUUGGCCUUCCAGGUGUUGCUGAACUACAACUCCCAUUAUCCCUGGCUAUUGGCCAUGCUAGGUAGAGAUUAUGGGAGUUGUGUAGUCCAGCAACAUCAGGCGGGCCUAAGGUUCCCUACACUAGUUUUAUGCAUACCAUUUCUAUGCCUGUUCCUCAGUUGGUGAUUUUCAGACUACAAAACUGCAGUAUAUUUAAGAUAAGACAAAACUGCCCCUGUUAAGAUGAGAGUUGGAACAAAUAUUACAGCUAAAUAAAAACCACCUGAAAAUAGUUUUACAAUAUAACCCCAAUUUGGAGUAUGUUGGAAAGAACAGCAUGGCUAUAAUAAAAGUUAAGAAGGAGGAUGUUUUCAGCAUUCUUCCUGGCUAGAAUAUAACCAGACAAUGACUCUUCAGGAAAUAUUGUUAUAUUUUGGAAGGGUAAAAAUAGAUACAAUGUCUAAAUUCAGGCCGUGAUACAAGAAACAAUAUAACCCAGAAUGUAGGGCACCAUAUCUUAAAAACAACACCCCAUAAAUAGUUUGUGUCCUUAACAGAUAGAAGAACACAGUUUUGAAAUGUACAUAUUGGAACAAGGUCAUUUGAAAUCAAUGUGAACAAAGUGUUAAGUGGCUUUUCUGGUGCUUCCUUGCUCUAUUGCAAAAUAAAGGCAUUUUCACUAUGA